rnacentral:lncRNA from 1 species
AUUAGAGACCUUUCACAUACAUAUUUGCUAAUAUUGAGAACAAGCCACUUCACUCUAACAGCAUGGUUACCUGAAUUAAAUUUAAAUUAUAAACAGUACUUUGCAAUCCACAGAUGACGCAAUCAUAAUUCCACUGCCCUUGGUUUGGGCAAUACCAUAUCAAGAUUUUGUGCAAAGAUCUAUUUUGAAUCGAAAAUUGUACAAAUCAGACAAUGAUUAUCUUCCUUAAUCAAAUAAAUUAUUUUUUAUAUCAAACAAAGUUUAAGUAGAAUAGUUGAUCUUUUAAAAUAUGUAUUUGUCAUGUAUUGUCGUAAUUUUUCAGUGGAACAUUCCGGCGGGCACAAGCGAGAAUGGAAAAGUCCAUUGUGACCAGAGGAAGGGGGGAUUAAUAUCUUCAGAAGACUUGCUUAAGCUAAACUGAUAGAGCAAACACGUUAUAUGCUGUUUUAUAACUUAUGUAUUUUCAUAAUGAUGUGUAACAAAAAAAAUUAAUUCUAUUUAUUGCAUUUUUGGGAUACCCUUUGAGAAUUUUCAUAUUGUGACCGACCCAGCGCCAUCUUGUCACAUUUGCGUGGUACAUCUGAUGAACCAGAACAUGACGAGGACGAACAGGAAAAACAAAUUAGGAAUAUAAUAUUCGGUGGACAAGAUAAAAGGAGUUUCAGGUCAUAAGAGAGGAUACCAGAGCUUCAUCCAUCGUGGAUGUUUAUCCAGAGAAUUGCAUCGUGCUUGGAGAAAUGCAUAGAGUCCUUGCUCCCCACAAUGAUGAAUUCUUCGAGGAAGUCAAAAUGAGAUGGGAGGAUUGCUGCGCCAGGGUCAUUUUACGGAGUAUGAAAGAAGGCAAUAAAGCCACUAAUCAACAGGGAUAAAAUGGAAGCCAACUUUGCUCUGGUGAAGGCCCUUCCCUUUCCCCCAGUGGCACCUCCAUCAAAGAAACUGGGAUGUGCUGGUGAAGCUUUACUGCAUGUUCAGGAGGUAAAUUUUUAUUUUUGCCCUAAGCAGAUACAUAAAGAAAUUACUACAUUGGAGAUACUAAAGUAAAAAUGUUUUUUUCUGCUUUAUAGUCAACAGAAGAUCCAAACGUCUUCAUCCAGAAGAGAGGCCUGUCAAGUCCAGUCUUGGUGUUCGAUGGCAGCAGAUGCAUCGUUGCUAUUGGUUUGAUGCCAGUGACGUUUGAAAAAGAAAAGCUUCACGAGGGUCUGAUUUUCUAAAUGGCAUAUUUUUACACACUACAUCUGACCUACACAAAAUGCGUGGCCACCCUUCUGUCAUUCAGACAGAUCCUUCAGGAUACAAUUCACAAGCGGGACAGCACCACCACAUGAAAGAGCAUUAAAGUAAAGAAUUUGUUGGAAGAUGAACUGCUUUUGCAGUUCAAUGUUUAUGUCUGUUCUUUAGAUGAGUAUUCUAAUUGUGUUGUUAAAGAAACUGUUGUAUUCCUAGAAAAUUUGGGUACAUUUGUAACACAAAUCUCAGUUUGUAAGUUGAAUAAAAGAAUCGAAAAGUGAAUUUGUUUUCAUUCUUUUUAGUAUUGAAACAAGAAAAAAUAUCUUUUGCAACUGCUUGUUUCAAGAUUUAUUUUCUGAAUUUUAGUGGGCAAUACAUUUUAAUCAAGCUCCUAUAUCCUAGUUUCUAGUUUUUUUGUCUUAAAUUACUGCUUAAAAUAAGUGUUUUUGCCUAAUUUCAAGAUUUAACCGAUUUACUAUGGCUUAGAUAUUUUUACUUAAAUCAAGACAUCUUGUUAAGUAAAAUUUACUAGCUGCACUGGCAGAUAAUUUGACUUAUUUCUAGUCAAUUUCUACUAAAAGCAAGUACUUUUUUCUAGAAUUAAGAUGGUGGUUUUUUGCAGUGCAGACUGGUUUAAUCCUUUUUUUUUUUUUUAAUGCUGGUGUGCCGCGGGAUUUUUGUCAAGGUUAAAGUGUGCCGUGGCUCAAAAAAGGUUGAAAAACACUGCACUAGCCGACUUUUAUGAAUGUAGCCAGCGAUCAGGGGAGUCUGUUUGCUCCUAUGCUAUAUAUUUGGAGGCAACUUUGAGAGCAUUGGAGGAAAGUCAAAGAGGCGGUAAGCCAUUCCCAGAUUGGGAUUGUAAAUUCACUAGGGGAGUUUCCGGGAGCUGCAAGAUAAGCUCAGAAAUCCGACUAAAGAAACUAAAAUAUUCAAGUCACUACCAAGUCAAAGAGGACCUACAUUCAGGUCCAGGUGACACCUGACUGUAACAGAGGAGGUUUUGGAAGCUCAGGGACAGGCAAAGUUAUUUAUCCACACUUGACCUCACUUCUGGAUAUUGGCAGGUGGAAGCGGCAGAGCACGACAAACACAAGACAGACUCUAGUCCUUCUGGCUAGGUUUAAAGU